CCGGACCGGGGCACGAACCCGUGUCCCCCUCAUCGGCAGGCGGACUCUCAACCACUGCACCACCAGGGAAACCCUCUCUUCCUGUUUUAAGUAAAGUCCUUACUACUUUUGUGCCAGUUAAUUGACAAACGCAAUGUUGAAAACAAUAAGACUUCAUUUCCUCUGCCUCAUUUCAGCAGCCCACUUUAUUUUGUUUUCAUGUUUUCACUGCCUCAGUCCCGACAGGGACACUAGAGCAUACUUUUACAACCUCUCCAGUUUCAUCUUGAUUUCCUGAGUAAAUCUGUUCUCGAGAGACUGUUUUAUUUCAUGCCCUAGCCUUUUCAUUUGAAAUAAUUUCCCUGAAACCUUUACCUUAUUUUCUAAUGUCCCUAACCCUUUUUAUGUAUUUGCUAUAUUAUAUAUUGUCAUAGAUAUUCAUUAUAAGCAUAAACACCUCUAUUGUAAAUAACAUCUUCCAUCCAUCUGUGGGCGAAGCUGCGGUUUGAAUGUAUGAAAUCUAAGGCCCUGGUCAGAGUGGAUAUGAUUAUGGACCAUGUCUUCUGGGAGUCCUAAGAGAUAACCCAGCUCCGGGACUGGGAUUGAAUGUCACGGCCAUGGUAGAGGCUCCCUGAGCCUUGCAUAGCAGGUAAGGGGAGUGACAGUUGCCCCAAAGCCACUUAUCAGAAGUUGUCGUGUCUCUGUACAACAAAGUUCUUUCCCCAGGGAGUGAGCAUCCCUGGGAGGGAGUUUUCCUGGUCUUUAAUUGUGGCACCAGCAAAGCUCCCCUUGCUCUGUUGCCCUGUGCCUCUGGGGAGUGAGGAGAGCCAGGGCACACGUGGGAAUUCCCUACUCUUGGAAUCCCAUUCCAAGGACUCCCUUUCUAGAUUUCAUCUUCAAUUUUUUUUUCCAUUUUUUUCCCCAUUUUUGCCACAUGAACCUGGCAGAUUCAGCCUCCUUAUACUACUAUUUUGUACCGAUGUUUUCAUAUCUCCUAACUCCUCUGCUUCUUCCAGAAUCAUCUCUUCCCUCCCUGCUGCUCAAAUCAGCAGAGGCACAUUGUACAAGUUUUCAUUUAGUGGAGACUGUCCCUUGCUGGUCUUAAUCCCAUCCAUCCUUAUUUCCCCAUCAGAUACUGUUUCCUCUGUGAUUGCUUAAUGCCUUGUAAGAUGUUCUUAUUUUUCUUACAUUCCAGUUUUACUUUUUACUCGUACGCAUUUGACCCCAUCUCGAAGGUAAUUUCAUUACCUUCCCAGUCCUUUGCUAAUCUAUAUUUUGGAGUUAACAUUGGUUGUCUUUUAUUUUUCUUCAGCAUUUUUCUUUAUCUUUUGUAAUGAAGGUAAAAGAACCUCCUUACACUUCAAGGUCUGUGUUUUUCUUCCUACUUUGAACAUUAGUUUAAAGUAAACAUUAGUUUAACUAAACAUCAGUUCCUUUAAUUUCUCCCAUUCUAUCCCUCUCCCUUUCAGAAGAUAAUUUUAAGGGGGAAGAACUCAGUUGGCCUAUAACUGGCAGACAAUGCGAUAGUGGUUGAGCAGAAUGAGGGCAGCCUAUUAAGCAUGAUAAAUCAACGGAAUAGUUUGGGUUAGAACUGGUGUUGGGAUUAGCGUUGAAGGAAGUUGAGCAUAAAAGGUGAUCCUGCAGACACUUCCAGCACCCCUUGGGCCACUGCAGAAGAAACAGUGAUGAAACUUCAGGUAUUGGCCACAAGAUGGCACUAUGGCGCCACCGAGAUCUAAGGGGCUCUGGGCAGAGUCUGGGAGAGCAGCCUGGGAGGAAAAGGGUUAAGAAAAACUUAGGCGUGGAUCCACUGCUCGACAGCUGUUGAAGAAGUUUUCAGUUAUUGCCAAACUACCUACAGCUAUGGAAGAAGUGGGAGGCCCCUCUAAACUGUAAUGAAAUCCACAGUUGAAGGAUUUGGGCGGAGCAGCCUUGAUGUCAGGGGCAGGUGCAGACAAGGAGCAACGGUGUCAGAGGAAUAUGGGAAACCCAGGGGGCGGAGCGCGCCCAAAAGUCAGAGCGUCGCAGCCCUACUCCACCUCCCCUGCGGGCAAGCUAAGCAACAUCUAGGAGAGGAGACGCUGACCUCACCUGAGCCAAGUCACAGGGGGAUCCUCCCGGGGCGGGGAGAAUCUGCAGGGGUAGGGGGAGUGACAUCCCAGGCAGCCCCACCUGGCCAUUGGAGAAGAGCCCCCCAGCUCCCUUUCUCAGGCCUGUGGAACAGAGCAUUUAGUGGGGACAGCCCUCUUCUCGCCCUCACCCUGCCAUGAGCCCCAACCUCUUUUGUGUGAUUCUUUGUCUGCUGGUGGCAGCAGGUCCCAUGGAUGCAGCAGUCACCCAGAAGCCAAGAUACCAUAUUAUACGAGCAGGAAGCAAGAUGGUCCUGGAUUGUUCUCAGGAUAUGAACCAUGUGGGAAUGUUCUGGUAUCGGCAAGAUCUGGGACAGGGGCUGAGGCUGAUCCAUUAUUCAAAUGGCGUCGGUAGCACUGGCGAAGGGGAUGUCACGGAAGGGUACAGUGUCUCCCGAAAGAAGAAUGAACAUUUCCCCCUGACCCUGGAGCCGGCCAGCACCAAGCAGACCUCCCUGUACCUCUGUGCCAGCAGUGAAUCCACAGCACGGCACAGUCAGCUGCUCUCCGCACAAAAACCUCGGCCACAGGCGUGAGGUGGACACUUCUUCCCGAGGCCACGUCUCACCAGGGGAGAAAAACUGCUCUUUCUGAAGCUCUCACCAGACUAGUGUGAACUGAGGUCCAUCAGCGUGAAGGGUGUGAGUGUGAGUGUGUGUGUGUGUGUGUGUUUGUGAGCGUGUGUGUGUGUGUGUGCGCGCUCUAAUUUGAAAAGACACAUGACCCCAAUGUUCA